CAUAUGGUUACUGGUAUUGUUCCACUUGAAAACGAACUUCCGCUUUUGAAUGAAGUUUAUUGUCGAACUGCAUCAAACUAUGUCCUUUUCCUUAUACGCGCUUCCCACAAUAGCUAGCUAUUCGAUUGAUUUUACCAAGUUCCUCGAUAUAAUCAAGCCAACUUGAAAUAUUCCAGCCACCUUUAUUAUGCUUUCCUAUAAAUAAACGACCUUGAGAGAAUGGAUCCCAAAUCUGUUAUCGUUGCCGCUGAUUUACGACUUCAAUUAGAAUUUUAUCGAUUCGAUUACGAAAUACUUACGUGUCUAUCAUCGAGAAAUAGUUGAGAAAUAUAGUUAGAGUACGUUGGAAUAAUCAAUAUCUUCUCUGACAAUUGCUAACAUAUGAUCUUGCAUAUUAAAACUAACUUAUAUAAUCAUAGGAAGAUGAAGAGUACUCGAAGUUAGUGCAAGGGGGACUCUCGAAUCCAUGAAUGCAAUUCGCAUUCCUUUUAUGGUAAAAUUUGAAACAAAUCGGAAAACGUGUAUAUACGUAUACUUGUAGAAGUAGCAAGAUAUCUAUACGAAAAAUGGUCUUAGACAUACAAUUAUUGCUAAAUAUAAUCCUACUAAAUAUCGUGGCCUAUUAAUAUGUAUUACAUUGUCCCAAAAGUUUCUUUCGUUUUAUAAGAAAAUGAUAGAUGCAAAGCAUUUCGUAGUAAUAAAACAAAAUGGAUCAUACGUAAUUCAAUAAAAUAAUAUAAAAUAAAAAAUGAUGUGCAUCGGUUAUUUCCUUAUAAAAUGAUAAAAAUUUUUGGGACAAGCUAAUAAGAUCAUUUUUCGUAUAAAUAUCAUGCAACUUCUACAAGUAUACAUAUACACACAUUUUCAUAUUUAUUUCAAACUUCGUUGAUAUAAUCAAAAAUAGUCGAGUCUCGUUACAGUGCUAAUGAAAUUUCAAAUGUUUCGUAUAGGAGACACACGUAUUCGCGAAAGGUACAAGCGCUCGAAUACCUUCCUAAAUAACUCUAAAAAUUUCGUCAUUCUUCGCAAAGUUCGACAUUAAAUGUUAAAAUGUCGAAGUUUAAGUAACUCGAACGUUCCUACCUUAUUAUAUUUCCGGGUGAAAUCUUGGAUUGCCUGCACACCGUGUGUGCAAUAGUGUGCAUGGAUCGGAUCAGUAACGUACGCUGCCGCGUACAUUGUUUAUUUUCACCGGAGGCAAAACGUAUAGGAUGCUCGACGUGUAUUUACCACGGAUAACGGAACCAUGCCGAUGCUCGAGUCUUCCUCGUUGCGCGUGCGAGUUCGAGCGAGAAAACGGGACAGGCAUAAGGAGAAAGACGACCAACGAUGGAAAGAAACGAGGAAGAAACCCGUAUAGUAUCGUCAUCCGAACGAAUCCGGACUCACAGAGAAUUUCUUCGAUCGAAGAUUACAUCCCUCACGCGACGAAUGUUUUUGACGGGUAACGGUAGUCGAUACGCGACUACGCUCGUCUUGAUCUAUCUGAGAAAUUAUGUACAUCAUCUUACGACGGAUUCGAUAUCUCUGGCCGUUUAAGCGGAAAUUAGAUCUCAGCCAACUCGACCUAUCAUUGAGGAUAUAAGAGAUAAUUAACGCCUGUAGUGGUUGGACCUUGUUAAACUUACAUUAUGUGAUUUUAAGUCUUUCGACUGGGGUGUCGGCUUGGGCUACUUGGUAUCAUGACAAUUUAGGGUUAGACUACUCAGUUUUGGAACUUUUGAUGCAAUUGAACUUUACUAACGAUUUCUAUUACGCAGCAAGUAAAGUAUAGAAUAAAAUUAAAUACCUUGAAUUUUGGUAAUCUAACGUAAAUUAUUACAGUCAUCUAUAGGCAAACGACUAAACAUGCAAAAGGUAUAAUUAUUUAUGACGGUCGAUACUUUUAAUGUCUUCAAUAUUUUAGUAUUACGACUAGGUAUUCUGAAAAUUUUGAAGGGGAUAAAAGAACCAAACAUUUCCAUGAAGUGUUAAAUACGAAAACCAAGUAUUUAAUAUAGUAUUAUCUAUAUUUUGAUAAUAUUUAAUAUUUCCACCGAAAUAUAAUUUUUAUUUCGGAUCAUAUAGAUGCGAGAAGAACGAUAAUAACUAAUUAUAAUAAUUGAAUUAUACACUUGAAAGAAAAUGCUAUUGAUAAAUAAGACGAAGCUUCAAGAUCUCCUUUUCUUCCGGUAGCACAGGCAACAACCGGAAGAAAGGAACAAAGGCGGCUAGAAGAAACAUUUAAAGUGUCCAGCCAAUAGGACCUACACUUUUAGCAGCAAGUAUAAGAGAGGUGAAUUAAGAAUUCCCUGAAAGUCGGGAUGGUCUCGAAUAAACAACUCUUCAGACUUCCACCAGUUUGAAAAGAGAGUUUAAUAAGUUGUUCCACAAAUAUUUUAAAGAAAAAGUUUAAUAAAAGUUUCCCUAUUACGCGUUCGUUCGAUAAAAUAUAUUCUUUUUUUAUAUCCUUACCUCCGAGAGAUCGUAUACACGCGCGCUCAAAUAAAACGAGAACGAUUUUAAUCCAAGUGUGUCGGGUGCAAGUUCGUAAUUAUUUUCAUUUUCUUGCGUUGAAAACCUUCAGAACUGCGUGAAAAAAUGUACAUGUUAAGAAAAAAUUAAAAAUAUAAGAAGCUCGAAACCAUGUUCAUUUAAAUCUAUAGCGAAACAAAUUUUUCAUAUAGUAAGGGACAAUAAUACCCGUACAAUUGGUUUACUGCAGAAAUAAAACACAGAAAUAUUUUCAAAGAUUAAUUCGCAAAUAGUAUAUAAUAUUUAAAAGAGGAUCUUAAGAAAAUUUUGGAAAAAGAUUGAGAAAAUGCAGAACCAAAUUUCCUUAAAAACUUAAUUAAUGAUAAAUUGGAUGCAGUUAUUUGAAAAAGGAUGCACACGGAAUAAUACUUAUUACACAUUAAUUAAUGGUAUUAAUUAAUGAUAUUGUAUGAAUAUUUCUGUCUCGACGAAAUGUUACCAUUAUAUGUAUCACAUUAUAUAUAUUUAAA